UUAAGUAUACGUGGUUAGUCAUUUUAAUUCUCAUGCUUUCCCAUUUUCACCAGAAUUGAAAUAUCCUUCAUUUUGUAACAGUUGCAUAAAUAGCUACGCUUAGCAAAGGUGUCGUUGGUUUUUGUUGAAGUUUGGUGAAAUACAGGAGCUGGAAUAACAAAUAAGGGAGCUGGGAUAUCUUCAAGCUGUUAAGUGCCAUGUGUUUUAGUGUUCCGAGAGCAAACAACCGCAGAUCCCGGGGAGUAUACGAAGAUGGACGCUAAGUUACGUAAACAUUAGAGUCAGUUUGCCUCACACCGGCGGAUAAGCGACACUGAGAACAAACAUCAUCAAGUUGUAAAUUCUUUCGAUAAUAUCCCCUGACAGCAUAUAAUGAGAUGUACCAUGGGAGUCGUUCUGCAAUAGCCGACGAGCGGGCAGCCGUGCGCGAGCAUGGCGUACUCGGAGGAGCACCAGCCGGCCGGCGCGGACCACGCGACGGAGGCGCGGCCGCUGGGCGGCGCGCGGGCGG